rnacentral:rRNA from 1 species
CAGCAGCAGCCACGGGAAUACGUAGGGUGCAAGCGUUAAUCGGAAUUACUGGGCGUAAAGCGUGCGCAGGCGGUUCGUUAAGACAGAUGUGAAAUCCCCGGGCUUAACCUGGGAACUGCAUUUGUGACUGGCGGGCUAGAGUAUGGCAGAGGGGGGUAGAAUUCCACGUGUAGCAGUGAAAUGCGUAGAGAUGUGGAGGAAUACCGAUGGCGAAGGCAGCCCCCUGGGCCAAUACUGACGCCCAUGCACGAAAGCGUGGGGAGCAAACAGGAUUAGAUACCCGUGUAGUCCCUGUCUCUUAUAC